GUGGAUAAGUGCAAGAAAAUGAAUCUUGGAUGUAAAAACCCAAGGGCAGAGUACAGAAUAUUUGAUAGAGUCCUAACCUCAACAUCUGAAUAAAGGGAUUUAGGGGUGAUUAUUUCUGAUGACUUAAAAAGGUAGGCAGACAAUGUAAUAGAGCAGCAGGAAAUGCCAGCAAAAUGCUUGGUUGUAUAGGGAGAGGCAUUAGCAGUAGAAAGAGGGAAGUGCUCAUGCC